AUUGAACGCUGGCGGCAUGCCUAACACAUACAAGUCGAACGGCAGCAUGAUAAGAGCUUGCUCUUAUUGAUGGCGAGUGGCGGACGGGUGAGUAAUAUGUAGGAAUCUACCUAGAGGUGCGGGAUAACUUGGGGAAACUCAAGCUAAUACCACAUAAGCCCCACGGGGGAAAGCAGGGGAUCGUAGGACCUUGCGCCUAUGAUGAGCCUACAUCGGAUUAGCUAGUUGGUGGGGUAAAGGCCUACCAAGGCGACGAUCCGUAGCUGGUCUGAGAGGAUGAUCAGCCACACUGGGACUGAGACACGGCCCAGACUCCUACGGGAGGCAGCAGUGGGGAAUAUUGGACAAUGGGCGCAAGCCUGAUCCAGCAAUGCCGCGUGUGUGAAGAAGGCCUUAGGGUUGUAAAGCACUUUCAGUGGGGAGAAAGUUACGGGUGUUAAUACCAUUCGUAAUUGAUGUUACCCACAGAAGAAGCACCGGCUAACUCUGUGCCAGCAGCCGCAGUAACAC
rnacentral:rRNA from 1 species